CUGUGAGUCUUCCGCGAAGACAGCCUGUGGCUCACUCCCGCCCGUUUGGCGUAUUUGGAGACUGAGGCCCGGGGGGCUCCUGCAGCAACUGGAGCUGCGGGGCUGGUUGCCACCUUCCUCCUCCCACACCCGGCAGUCACCGGGAGGCCUCGGGGACUGCGUGAGGACGGGGGUGCGAGGCGCCCCUCGCCGGGGUUGGGGUUCCUGGCUCCCAGGCUGCGCGGGUCCACGUGCCCCGGCCCUGUGGAAACCUGUGGCACUCGCGGGGCCACGGCGGAAGGUCCGAAGGCGGGAGGCUUGCUGUGUCCCCGCACUGGCCUCGGCGCCCCGGCGGCCGCAGUGACGCGCGGGCUCAUACCUGGGCCCGGAGCAGACGCCGGGGAGCUGGCCGCAGAUGAAGCAAAGGAGGAGCCCUGCCCUCCCUCUUGGGGAACAAGCACUUUGGUGCCUCUGCAGACUGCAAUGUUAUCUUGGAUUCCUCCAGUGAUGGGGAGCUCACUACUACACCAGGCAUCCCAGGACAGAGUUCACCUCUCUGGAUAUCCUGCCCCACUCUGUCUCCAACAUGGUUGCUCUGCCCGCUCUCUCUGUUGGGAGACUCUAGGUGGGCUAAAGCUGGAGAAUCACACUGCAAGAUGCCAGGGUGUUCUGCAGGGUGGCGCUGCCUCCACCAGAGUCAGUACUUCCUCCUCACGCUCAGGGCUUAGUCCAAACACUCAACCUCUAAGACCUGUGGCAGGAAGAACUCAUACCCUUAAAGACUUCUCUGGGGGGUGAGGUGGGGAUAGGACCCUGCUGUCCCCUCUGCCUGGCCCUGUUUCCUUCUUCCCCAGACCCCUACCCAAAGCCUACCCUCUGGCUGGUCACACCACAGGACCUGGAGCACGCCACAGGAAUUAUUACGGCUAUGCUGACUGCAUGGGCCCUGGGAGAAGCCCCCACCUCCCAGCUCAGGGUGGCCCUGCCCUGCCUUCUGGGCCUGGGCUGGGGUCUGGGGUCAUUCGGGAAGCCGGUGGCCAGUGGUGAGGGUCCCAGCGGCUUGCCUGCACUACACAGUGGCUUAGGAAAUUACAGUUGAGUUCCGUGAACUCCAGGGAGUUUGCUCACAGUCGUCUGAUUUCUGGUCCUUUUAAAGCAUCACCUGUUUCCCCUUAUAUUCACUCCGGCCUCAGUUUCCCCAUCUCCUGCCAGCCCUCCAAACCUCAGAUGAAAGCCUAGAGCUGC
rnacentral:lncRNA from 1 species